CGAGGGGAAGGAGCCAGUCCCGCGGAAGCCCCGCAGAAGCCCCGCGAAAACCCACUCCUGUGAAUUCAUGGCCCGAUGGGUGUAAAGAAAGGAAAGACUUGCGAGGGACGGCCGAAGUGCCCUGUUUCAGGAGGUGCAGUUCCCGAGGAAUCCUGAGUCAGCGAUCGUCGCCAGGAGCUGGCCUUCCUGGACGGACGAGGGGACAGAGCACCGUGAGAACCAGGGCCCGGUGUGUGCCCCAGGAGGAUUCUUGGUCUCAGAGAUGGAAAUGUCACUUGGGCAUAAGCCAUGAUCAUCGCUUUCACACCAGACACGAUAUCCUGCCCAGUGUAUUACUGGUCCUUCUCCAUCCCACCCUAGGGGGACCACCUGCAUGACACCAUGAAGGGACACAUCAACAAAAUACUCUGCUAGUUCAGCAUCAUGGACUUCAAAAGCAGAAGCAAGGAAAAUCCAUGCAUUAGGGUUAAUAACCAUACCUCAUGCAGAAUGCACUUUUGCCAAAAGGGUUUUCCAUGAAAUGCAAAUCCUGCAAGAUGACCUACUGAAAUAACUUUAGAAAAUGCUUCAAAUCCUGCAAGAUGAAACACAAAAGCUACAAGAUGAUCUAUGUC